rnacentral:lncRNA from 13 species
AUCAGAAUCAGAACACAGAUUGCCCAGUGGUGGCUAAUUAUUUGGGGUGGAUGAAACAUGGGAGAGUUUUGGAAGCCUUUAGACAUAAAUUAACUGUGAAAAGCAGGAUCUCAGUCUCAUGGGCAAAGGAAGCUGAAACACUGAAUUGCUAGCAGAGGACUCAGGACCAAACAAUAUUCCUGGAAAAUACUCCUGCGUCUUUCCCUCGUCUCCGCCUGGCCUCCAGGGCAGACAGAAUUCUCACCUUCUUCUCUAAAUAAAGCCAGGCAUGUGCAAGAAACUAGGAAGAAAACUAAGAGAAGUACAGAUCUCACCCUACUCAUGUGGAGUCUGCAGUGUUCUAGUGCCAACGUCCCCAUCAUUUCCAUGCAAUUUUCAUCCCAGCGUCAGUGACUUACUCAUGGAUCAGGCCAUCAGAGGCUGUAGUGUAGAAAGACAUUUCACUGGACUCACCCGUGCAUUUCAUCCUGCUCAGGAAGUCACAAAUAAGACCGAGCGUGAGGCAGCCAACACCAAAAGGAAAACAUUCCUUGCCUCCUGAAGGCCUCCAAUUCCGAGCCUGGCCAUUUUAGCCUUGGUGACCCACACAUACACCUAUGGAUAGUCCCCAGGAGCCAGAAAGUCUGAAGUAACCAGGUGGCCACAGAAAGAAGUGAAACAACUUGUUCCUGCCUCAACUUAUUGCUCUGCAACCUGUCACCAUUGUUUCUGUUCAACCUUAUGAAGACUUCCCCCCAGGCACUGGGUUUCUGAAGACCCCUGCCUCUGUAACCACGUAAUCGACUGCACCCUCCCGUCUGACUGCAGCCCAUACUCCCCACCUUUGUGAUCAUGCCUGUUUGUAAUAGAUGACCCCUACCUUGUGAUCACGCAUCCCGUGACGCCCUCCCCCACCCCAGAUAGAUUACUACAUUUAGCUGACCACGUGCCCCAACCUACAUAACCAAUCCCCUCUCCUAUCCCCUUUGCCUAACUCCUUUCUUGGACUUGGUCCGCUUGCACCCAAGAGGGAAAUAAACGGCCUUGUUGCCCACA